rnacentral:rRNA from 1 species
GACGAACGCUGGCGGCGUGCCUAAUACAUGCAAGUAGAACGCUGAAGGAGGAGCUUGCUCUUCUGGAUGAGUUGCGAACGGGUGAAUAACGCGUAGGUAACCUGCCUGGUAGCGUGGGAUAACUAUUGGAAACGAUAGCUAAUACCGCAUAACAGUAGAUGUUGCAUGACAUUUACUUAAAAGGUGCAAUUGCAUCGCUACCAGAUGGACCUGCGUUGUAUUAGCUAGUGGGUGGGGUAACGGCGCACCAAGGCGACGAUACAUAGCCGACCUGCGAGGGGGAGCAGCCGGCCUGGGACGGAGACACGGCACAGUCGCCUUCGGGUGGCAGCCGUAGGGCAUCGUCGGGAAUGGGCGGAAGUCUGUCCGAACAACGCCGCGUGCGUGUAGAAGGUUGUCGGGUCGUAAAGGUCGGUUGUAGGAGAAGAAAGAGUGUGCGAGUGUAAAGUUGACACUGUGACGGUAUCUGGCCAGGAAGCGCCGGCUAACUACGUG